rnacentral:rRNA from 1 species
AGAGUUUGAUCCUGGCUCAGAAUGAACGUUGGCGGUGUGGAUUAGGCAUGCAAGUCGUGCGCGAAACGUAGCAAUACGUGGAGAGCGGCGAAAGGGAGAGUAAUACAUAGGUACGUACCCUCGGGUCUGGGAUAGCGGCGGGAAACUGCCGGUAAUACCAGAUAACGUCUUCGGACCAAAGGUGUGAUUCCACCUGGGGAGCGGCCUGUGGCCUAUUAGCUUGUUGGCGAGGUAACGGCUCACCAAGGCAAAGAUGGGUAUGGGGCGUGAGAGCGUGCCCCCACUCACUGGGACUGAGAUACUGCCCAGACACCUACGGGUGGCUGCAGUCGAGAAUCUUCGGCAAUGGGCGCAAGCCUGACCGAGCGACACCGCGUGCGGGAUGAAGGCCUUCGGGUUGUAAACCGCUGUCGUAGGGGAGGAAGGUCUUGCGAAGAGCAAGGCUUGACCGAUCCUAGGAGGAAGGGCCGGCUAAUCUCGUGCCAGCAGCCGCGGUAAUACGAGAGGCCCAAACGUUAUUCGGAUUUACUGGGCUUAAAGAGUUCGUAGGCGGCUUGGAAAGUGGGGUGUGAAAGCCCUCGGCUCAACCGAGGAAUUGCGCUCCAAACUACCGAGCUUGAGUAGGCUAGAGGUGAGCAGAACUGAUGGUGGAGCGGUGAAAUGCGUUGAUAUCAUCAGGAAUACCGGAGGCGAAGGCGGCUCACUGGGACCUAACUGACGCUGAGGAACGAAAGCUAGGGGAGCAAACGGGAUUAGAUACCCCGGUAGUCCUAGCCGUAAACGGUGAGCACUGGACCGGGGGCCUGCACAGGCCCUCGGUCGUAGCGAAAGUGUUAAGUGCUCCGCCUGGGGAGUAUGGUCGCAAGGCUGAAACUCAAAGGAAUUGACGG